GAACUCAACUCACAAACUGUGAGAUCAUGAGCUGAGCUGAAGUCAGACACUUAACCCGACUCCACUACCCAGGCACCUCUUAAUAUAUCUCCUUUUUUAUAUACAAGAAAAAUGAAGCACAGAGACGUCAAGGUUGUAUUUAUUUAAGGUUAUCUUGUUCAAAGUGUGUUCAAGGUUACAUAGGUAGCCGGUCGCAGAGUUGUGGAUUCAGACCAAAGCAGACUGACCCUGUGUUCUUCCCUGUCUUCCUUGAGGACUCUGUCUUUAUCUCCAUAGACCAGAGGUAGUCCUGCCAUCACAGUGGCCAUUAUGACAUGUAGGCCUUCAGGCAUUGCUUUAGAAACUGGUCCACUCAUAAUUUACCCCAGACCUCUUUUACUCCAUGAAGACGGAGUUAGCAUCCCUAGGAGGCAGCAACAUGACAGAGUGGGGUUCCAGUCUUACCCACCAACCCCCAGUACCAUCUGACCCAUCACGUCUGUGCUCUCUUAUGUAAUUACGUAUAUUCCAGGUGGAGCCAAAUCUCUCUUUAGUGUCUUGUCUUCCACAAUAUACAUAAAACAAUGAUCUGAAAGUCAACCAAAUGCUGUCUUUCAAAAGGCCCUCUGAACAGACACAACAUUGCACAGUGCUAAAGAGGAAGAGUUUGAUGUUUUAAGCAGAGAGAACCAGAGAGCAAGACAGAGUCAGGGAUAGAGAAAGAGAGAGAUGGGUGACAGAGUGGGACACUCUCAUUUGAAAGUCAGCUGGAAUAUAGACGCCAGGUGUCUAUAUCCCAAGGGACUUGGGAGCCACCCAGGAGAACCAUUGACCUGAGGGCAGAAGGAACCAGGCGAGAUGCUUGUCAGUAACAAAAUUUGGUCACUAGUUGGGACGAUGAAAUGACCAUUGUGAGUAUGGCCUGGUACAUUCAGGAGGCUGUGAGUAGAAAUUUAAAGAAGUCUUCGUAUAGUCUGCAACACUAUAGCAUAGGCAACACUGCUUGAUUGGUCACUCGUAGAGACAGAAAAAAGGCAUUCUUCCUCAUUUCUCUAUUUCCCGGGCAUUUAGCAUUCCUGAGUUCAUUGUGUUCCCCUGACCAAAGUAGUCGGUUCAUGGAUGACCACACAAUGCAACUGGAGCCAUUACUUGGUCUUUUGUAAAAGCAACUGGUAGGGAGGGGAGUUUAUGACCUCAGGGAUUUAAAUCUGGGAGAAGAUAGCCUUUUACUGCUGGGCCCUCUUUUCAUCACAGGGCAUCUGCAAAUGAAGCCAUUGUGAAGGACGGCAGACCUGAGAGAGACCUCAUUUGAGCCUCUGGAUUAAUAUCCCUCCUUGCGUCAACCAGUCUGAUGUGGAUUUUCUGACCUUUGCUACCAAAGUGUUCACAGUGGGGCCGAUAGUGAUGGAUUGGGUCAUUUUUUAAGCUAGAUUUCGCAGGGAAACCCUCUCUAAGCAUCUGGAAGUCUGUGGAUCAAGCUUUUCCUAAAAUUGUGAGACGGUCAACUGAUCACACUGCUUCUUUGUCUCCAGCCACUCAGUAUUUGAGGUGUGGCAUUUGCUCCUGUAAACUCCCAGGGCUAAGUUGUGCGAGGGCUCACAGAUGUGUUUUGCACUUAUGCACACUUCAUUUGUCUUCCUCCUAUGAGUUAUGGUUGCUUCAAAUCUACCGAUCAAUGUGUCCUCCUAGUAACAGACAUUGGAAAAAUGUGUAUGUUUCUCUGAACAGGAGUUGUUGGCUUACUGUGGGAACAGCUGAAUCCUCUCUCGAGCCAUAGUCCUGAGGUUCCUUUGCGUUCCAUGAUCUUCUGUUUUUGCCUUUUCCCGAUGAAACCAUGAAUCACUGGAGAGCUACUUAGAAGGAUUGUGGAAGUGUGUACCUUCUAAAGCUGCACCUCUUCUGCUUUGUGUCCUACAUCCUACGUAUCCAGAAGUGGUCCCUACAUCCAGUGACAAGUUUCUUAUAAGACACAAACGAGAAGACACAGGACAGAAGGCCAUGUGACAACAGAGGCAGAGACUGGAAUGAUGGGGCCACAAGCCAAAGAAUACCUGGAGCCACCAGAAACCAGAAAAAACAGGGAGGAUUGUCCCCCGGAGAUGGCAGAGGGAGCACAGCCCUGCUGACCCCUUGAUUUCAUACUUCUGGCCUCCAAAGCUCUGAGAGAAUAAACUGUUUUAAGCACUC